ensembl:snRNA U6 U6 spliceosomal RNA
GUGACCGCUUUAGUGACACAUAUACUAAAAUUGGAACAAUUCAAGAAGAUUAGCAUAGACCCUGUGCAAGGAUGGCGCGCAAAUUCAUGAAGCGUUCCAUAUUCUU